UGAGUAACACGUAUCCAACCUGCCGUCUACUCUUGACAGCCUUCUGAAAGGAAGAUUAAUACAAGAUGGCAUCAUGAGUCCACAUGUUCACAUGAUUAAAGGUAUUCCGGUAGACGAUGGGGAUGCGUUCCAUUAGAUAGUAGGCGGGGUAACGGCCCACCUAGUCAACGAUGGAUAGGGGUUCUGAGAGGAAGGUCCCCCACAUUGGAACUGAGACACGGUCCAA
rnacentral:rRNA from 1 species